rnacentral:rRNA from 1 species
AGUGAACGCUGGCGGUAGGCCUAACACAUGCAAGUCGAACGGCAGCACAGUAAGAGCUUGCUCUUACGGGUGGCGAGUGGCGGACGGGUGAGGAAUACAUCGGAAUCUACUUUUUCGUGGGGGAUAACGUAGGGAAACUUACGCUAAUACCGCAUACGACCUACGGGUGAAAGCAGGGGAUCUUCGGACCUUGCGCGAUUGAAUGAGCCGAUGUCGGAUUAGCUAGUUGGCGGGGUAAAGGCCCACCAAGGCGACGAUCCGUAGCUGGUCUGAGAGGAUGAUCAGCCACCCUGGAACUGAGACACGGUCCAGACUCCUGCGGGAGGCAGCAGUGGGGAAUAUUGGACAAUGGGCGCAAGCCUGAUCCAGCCAUACCGCGUGGGUGAAGAAGGCCUUCGGGUUGUAAGGCCCUUUUGUUGGGAAAGAAAAGCAGCAGGUUAAUACCCCGCUGUUCUGACGGUACCCAAAGAAUAAGCACCGGCUAACUUCGUG